GCAUUAAUGGGGUAGUGGUAACCUGGGUCGUUGCCACAUUUCUACUCUAAGCAGAUUAAUCGACCCGCCGGGGGUUCGAUUCCCUCUUAAUGCA